rnacentral:lncRNA from 1 species
AUGAGUGCAAAAGUUUCAAAAAUGCAUUUAGACGAUGUCCACACCCUUCUGGGAUUUUUCAGCUUUUCCUGAAAUUUAUUCUCAUUAUCUAAGAGCUAAAUCAAAUUUUUGGAAGGCUCUAUAAUCCUUUUCAUGAUCUCCAAGAAUUUUAUUUGGAUUGAUCUUGUCCCAAUCUAUCUCUAGGAAUUUUUCUGGAAUUUUUGGGAUUUUCAGAGUAUUUUUCGUGGUUUAAAUGAAUUAUCUAGAUUUUCUGGAUUUUUAUUUACCCGGGAAAUGAAUUCUGAAAAAGAAACCUUCUCUA